CAGUAGCCGCGGUAAUACAGAGGGUGCGAGCGUUAAUCGGAUUUACUGGGCGUAAAGCGUGCGUAGGCGGCUUCUUAAGUCGGAUGUGAAAUCCCUGAGCUUAACUUAGGAAUUGCAUUCGAUACUGGGAAGCUAGAGUAUGGGAGAGGAUGGUGGAAUUUCCGGUGUAGCAGUGAAAUGCGUAGAGAUCGGAAGGAACAUCUGUGGCGAAGGCGACUAUCUGGGCCAUUACUGACACUGAGGCACGAAAGCAUGGGGAGCAAACAGGAUUAGAUACCCCGGUAGUCCCUGUCUCUUAUAC
rnacentral:rRNA from 1 species